GAGAAUUUUUCUCAAUGGGGGAAACCCUGAAGGAGCGACGCCGCGUGGAGGAUGAAGGUCUUCGGAUCGUAAACUCCUGUCAUUUGAGAACAAGUGCCGUCCGGUAACUACGGAUGGCUUGAUAGUAUCAGAAGAGGAAGAGGCGGCUAACUCUGUGCCAGCAGCCGCGGUAAUACAGAGGCCUCAAGCGUUGUUCGGAUUCAUUGGGCGUAAAGGGUGCGUAGGCGGUUCCGUAAGUCGGGUGUGAAAUCUUGGGGCUCAACCUCAAAACUGCAUUCGAUACUGCGGGGCUAGAGGACUGGAGAGGAGAGUGGAAUUCACGGUGUAGCAGUGAAAUGCGUAGAUAUCGUGAGGAAGACCAGCGGCGAAGGCGGCUCUCUGGACAGUUCCUGACGCUGAUGCACGAAGGCCAGGGGAGCAAAC
rnacentral:rRNA from 1 species